UACGAAGGGGACUAGCGUUGUUCGGAAUUACUGGGCGUAAAGCGCACGUAGGCGGAUUUGUUAGUCAGGGGUGAAAUCCCGGGGCUCAACUCCAGAACUGCCUUUGAUACUGGCAAUCUUGAGUCCGGAAGAGGUGAGUGGAAUUCCGAGUGUAGAGGUGAAAUUCGUAGAUAUUCGGAAGAACACCAGUGGCGAAGGCGACUUACUGGACGACUGUUGACACUGAGGUGCGAAAGCGUGGGGAGCAAACAAG
rnacentral:rRNA from 1 species